AGGACGCCUCAGAGCCCCCAAGUUUGCGGUGGGACCAAUCUGGGAAGUGUGACCUUCCAGGGGAAGGGGGAAGGAGGGCCGAGAGCCAGCAAUCUCCACUAGAAAGCUAAAUACAUAGUCGCCCAAAAGAGAAAGCCAAGGAGCCUCUCCAGGGCCCCGGGCUCUGCGCGCUAGCCAGUUCUCAAGUCCAAUGCCUGGAGGAAACCCACUCUCUACCCCGCGCAUCGGGCGCAGCACAGUCAGUCACUCGUGGCCCGCAGCGGCAGCCAAGGGGUUAACCGGGGAAAGCCCAAGACGCCACAGAAGAGGGAAGGAAGAGAAGGAGAGAGAGGGAGAGAGAGCAAAGGAAGAGCCACAGAGUCAUCUUCCCAGGGUGAAGAAACAAACACCACCACCAAAGGGGGAGGGGGAACCAGAACGCAAAGGAAAGUUCUUCGGAUUCCCCCCCCUCCCCACCAACAAAGCCCUGCUUGGACAGAGAGGUCUCCCCAACAUCACGAGGCAGCAAACUGAAAGCAAGAACGUGGCGAAGUGCAAACAAAUCCAGUCCACAAAAGGCAGAAAACAACAUUUGCCAAGCCCAGGAAACAGAUAAAAAACCCCACCAGCCCGAGGGGCUUUUCCUACCUCGGAAUCGGAGGAGCUGUUUUGAUUCGUUUCUGAUUCAUUGACUAGAGACGAUUUGACAUCAGCUAAAUCCCUCUCUGCCGAGGAGUUUUCGGAGCUCUUCUCCUCCUGUUCGCCCUCGUCUUUGAAGGAAAUCAGUUCGUCGUUGGCGCCUAGGUCAUCCCCUCCACCGCCGUUCAGCUGCGGCAUUUUUUUUUCACCCACCAGCAGCAAUUUUGGAAGAAAAAUGAAGGAGGAAGAAAAGCCAAAAAAAAUCACCCCCAAAAAGUUUUGCCCCCCCAAAAAAUAUUGCAAGAAAAAGACGAGUCCAAGGUGAA